CGUGGCCUAUCGAUCCUUUA
rnacentral:snRNA from 1 species